UACGGAAGGCAGCAGUGGGGAAUAUUGCACAAUGGGCGAAAGCCUGAUGCAGCUAUGCCGCGUGUAUGAAGAAGGCCUUAGGGUUGUAAAGUACUUUCAUCGGGGAGGAAAAAACAAAACUAAUAAUUUUAUUUCUUGACGUUACCCGAAAAAGAAGCACCGGCUAACUCCGUGCCAGCAGCCGCGGUAAUACGGAGGGUGCUAGCGUUAAUCAGAAUUACUGGGCGUAAAGAGCACGUAGGUUGUUUUUUUAAGUCAGAUGUGAAAUCCCUGGGCUUAACCUAGGAACUGCAUUUUGAAACUGAAAUACUAGAGUAUCGUAGAGGGAGGUAGAAUUCUAGGUGUAGCGGUGAAAUGCGUAGAUAUCUGGAGGAAUACCUGUGGCGAAAGCGGCCUCCUAAACGAAUACUGACACUGAGGUGCGAAAAGCGUGGGGAGCAAAACAGGGAUUAGAUACC
rnacentral:rRNA from 1 species